CUCUUGUCUUACAGUCAUGUGGAGGUCAGAAGUGUUGGUUCAGCAGUGAUCAGGUGGAGUCAUAGGCAAACUCCCCUAAUGGCUCCCCCCAGCCCCUCGGAGCUGUCAGAGCAGCUGUUGCUGCAGUCGAGCUGCAGAUAGCUGGGAGCGUACUGUAUCGCUGUGUGCUUCCCUCAGAUGAAGCAUUGGAAUGCUUAGAUGAAGAGACACUGGAAGCAAUGGCAAAACAUGAGACUGAAGACGACAAGAUCUUCCAGAAGUUUAAGGAGCGAAUAGCUGCAGAACCAGAGCAGAUGCAGAAAUUGAUUUGUGAUGAAGUAAGAAUUUAGCACCUGCUCAUCUAACUCAGACAGAAAUUGGUCAGGAUGACCAGGCACAGGGGCAUUAAAGCCAACAUGAGGGGGGCAUCUGCUGGCCUGUCAAGUGGUUCUAGCAAAAGAAGAGGAAAUAUCGCCCUCCUGCUGCCACCUUCUUGCAUACCCUGGCUUUUGGCCCUGUUGGCUUUCCUUCUCACCAGAACCAAAACUGCAGAGAAGAGCCAUGUCACUCUCGCCAUUUGCGGAUUAUUAGAUACUGCAGAGGAGGAGAAGGCCCCAUCUGGGUGUCAGGUGAAAAUAUUCCUGAAGAAAAAGAUAUCCCAAAUUGCUCAUGUGGUGCCAAAAGGAUAUUUGAAUUCCAGGUAUGUAAAUUCAUCUAAAGAUAAUAUAGGUACUGUAGUUCAAACUUAA
rnacentral:lncRNA from 1 species